GAUAUUAUAACCCCUAAAUGUGGCAAAGGCAUAUUUGCGGUAAAACCAGUCGAUCAACGGUGUAGUCGACCGUUCCGCGCCUUUCCCUCCUGAGUUGUCCGCUCAAGGGUACCUUGUCUAGCACUUCAAAAGUUGAAACCUUAUUCUAUUAAACUGUUCAUGAAUCACGGUCAAACUUAGUCGAGUCAGUUAUGUUGUCCACAUAACGACUCAUUAAGAUAGCCUAAUCUAAAGUCCACAGGGUUUCCUCGGAACCCAAAUAGACACCUCCACAUUAUGUGCAUUUAUUUGGAGAACUAAAUGCCUUAUUGCUAAUUAUUGAUUUAAAAGGCGAGUCUGGUGGGUUAAGGAUAACACUUUGUUUUGCAGAAAAUGAGGCACGAAGUCCCCAGAUUCGGUAUGGUAUCCAACAUUUCGAGUCUUGUGGGGUUAAGUGCCUAGCACUUUGUUUUGCAGAAAAUGAGGCACGAAGUCCCCAGAUUCGGCAUGGUAUCCAACAUUCACCCGAGGUUGUUAAGCUGGUGGGAGGACCUUCAUGCCAGUGAUCAGACCCUCGUCCGCAAAUACUUAGGAAACCUUCCUUCACUUUUCGAAGUUAAGCCUGACAACAAGGUUAUCGAAGCUGCUAGUUUAUUUUGAGACAGUGAUAGGUCAGUUUUUCGCUUCGGGGACCUCGAGAUGACCCCGUUGAUGGAAGAAAUAGGGGGUCUAGCUGGAAUACCUUGGGAGACUCCAAGUCUAUUUAUGCUAGAAAAUCUCUCCUUAAAAUGAUGGGACUUAAGAAGAAUCCCGAUCUGACUUGCCUGAAGGAGUCCUACAUACCACUUGACUUCCUAUAAAGGUUUGGCCAUAGCAAGUCCUACCGCACCUACUUUAUACGCUCAAAUUACACUUUAAUAAUUAGUGUAAGGCGGU
rnacentral:lncRNA from 1 species